rnacentral:rRNA from 1 species
UNUGGAAACUGUCUGACUUGAGUGCAGAAGGGGAGAGUGGAAUGCCAUGUGUAGCGGUGAAAUGCGUAGAUAUAUGGAGGAACACCAGUGGCGAAAGCGGCUCUCUGNUCUGUCACUGACGCUGAGGCUCGAAAGCGUGGGUAGCGAACAGGAUUAGAUACCCUGGUAGUCCACGCCGUAAACGAUGAGUGCUAGGUGUUAGGCCCUUUCCGGGGCUUAGUGCCGGAGCUAACGCAAUAAGCACUCCGCCUGGGGAGUACGACCGCAAGGUUGAAACUCAAAGGAAUUGACGGGGGCCCGCACAAGCGGUGGAGCAUGUGGUUUAAUUCGAAGCAACGCGAAGAACCAUACCAGGUCUUGACAUCCCGAUGCUAUUCUUAGAGAUAGGAAGUUACUUCGGUACAUCGGAGACAGGUGGUGCAUGGUUGUCGUCAGCUCGUGUCGUGAGAUGUUGGGUUAAGUCCCGCAACGAGCGCAACCCUUAUUGUUAGUUGCCAUCAUUAAGUUGGGCACUCUAGCGAGACUGCCGGUAAUAAACCGGAGGAAGGUGGGGAUGACGUCAAAUCAUCAUGCCCCUUAUGACCUGGGCUACACACGUGCUACAAUGGUCGGUACAACGAGUUGCGAGCCGGUGACGGCAAGCUAAUCUCUGAAAGCCGAUCUCAGUUCGGAUUGGAGGCUGCAACUCGCCUCCAUGAAGUCGGAAUCGCUAGUAAUCGCGGAUCAGCACGCCGCGGUGAAUACGUUCCCGGGCCUUGUACACACCGCCCGCCACACCACGAGAGUUUGUAACACCCGAAGU